rnacentral:rRNA from 1 species
GACGAACGCUGGCGGCGUGCUUAACACAUGCAAGUCGAACGGUAAGGCCCUUCGGGGUACACGAGUGGCGAACGGGUGAGUAACACGUGGGUAAUCUGCCCUGCACAUCGGGAUAAGCCUGGGAAACUGGGUCUAAUACCGAAUAGGACCACAGGACACAUGUCCUGUGGUGGAAAGCUUUUGCGGUGUGGGAUGGGCCCGCGGCCUAUCAGCUUGUUGGUGGGGUGAUGGCCUACCAAGGCGACGACGGGUAGCCGGCCUGAGAGGGUGUCCGGCCACACUGGGACUGAGAUACGGCCCAGACUCCUACGGGAGGCAGCAGUGGGGAAUAUCGCACAAUGGGCGAAAGCCUGAUGCAGCGACGCCGCGUGGGGGAUGACGGCCUUCGGGUUGUAAACCUCUUUCACCAUCGACGAAGGUCCGGGUUUUCUCGGGCUGACGGUAGGUGGAGAAGAAGCACCGGCCAACUACGUG